rnacentral:rRNA from 1 species
GACGAACGCUGGCGGCGUGCCUAAUACAUGCAAGUCGAACGAACCGCGACUAGGUGCUUGCACUUGGUCAAGGUGAGUGGCGAACGGGUGAGUAACACGUGGGUAACCUACCUCAUAGUGGGGGAUAACAGUCGGAAACGACUGCUAAUACCGCAUAGGACAUAGGAUCACAUGAUCCAGUGAGGAAAGGUGGCGCAAGCUAUCGCUAAGGGAUGGACCCGCGGUGCAUUAGCUAGUUGGUAGGGUAAAGGCCUACCAAGGCGAUGAUGCAUAGCCGACCUGAGAGGGUGAUCGGCCACAUUGGGACUGAGACACGGCCCAAACUCCUACGGGAGGCAGCAGUAGGGAAUCUUCCGCAAUGGACGCAAGUCUAACGGAGCAACGCCGCGUGAGUGAAGAAGGUCUUCGGAUCGUAAAGCUCUGUUGUUAGAGAAGAACAGCGCAUAGAGUAACUGUUAUGCGUGUGACGGUAUCUAACCAGAAAGCCACGGCUAACUACGUG